GGUGGUGGAUGGGAACUACUGUAGCUGACACUAUGCAAGUGAAAGAUAGGCGGUUAUCUUGUCGACGUAUUGAAUAACAUAAUAUGUAUUCUGGCAAUGACUGUCGUGGUGAGUAUUUCAGACACUGUUGGUUUCAUUUCCCUUUGCGAAGUUCAACAUUUCUCCUUUUUCCUGUUUGAGCUGGCCAUGUAAGUUGGCCCAUCGUUGUUUUUGAACUUCGCUGAAAUUUGCAUGCAAAUUUUCUCCACAGCUUGUCGGGUGUUUAAAAUGUCGCAAAAGAAUAAUAGAAUUCUCUUAACUUGAGAGGUUUGAAACUAUAAAAUUUUGAAAUGAUGACUUAAUUGAUGGUAAGUGGCAGUGCCAAUAAUCUAGCCUAUGAGUAAACUUGAAGCCAAUCUUGUGUUGCUUUGGAAUUGACUGCAUAAGCCCCUAAUCUCAGCAAGCUGCAGUCAUUGAUGAAAUAGAAUUGUGCAUCUACAGUACAGCAGGCAGAGACAGCACCUAAAUUUAGCAAGCUGCUGCCUGCAGAACGUGAAGAGGUGAAGAUUGUUGGCUUUGGCUCGCGACCUGCUCUGCGUAAAAUACAAAGACUUUACUACGAGGCUAAAGCAGAUGCAGUUUUCUUGUAGACAUUUCAAAGUCCACUCAUGGAAGGCUAGGCUUGAUGGUAACAGUUGCCAGAAACACCACCUUGGACUAGUAACCCCAUGCCUUUGUAUGAAUUCUUUUUCCGAGAGCCGAUGCUGAGGACUCAUGCCCUCCCCCCCCACCUUCCUGGCAGAGGACCAGCCGCGGAGGACCCAAAGGGAAGCGUCUCUAACGGACCACGAAGGUUAGUUUUUGUUUCAGUGUCCAAAGAGGAAGUAGAGAUGGGUUGGGCGUGGUGUAAUUGGAAAGUUUUCCAAAGACUGAAAAUCCCGUGCUAAAAUACGAUCCCUUCUGUUGUAACUAGAACGGUAGUGACGCACAUUCUGACAUCUGUAGAUAUUCCAUUUUCUGGAGCAUACCCGGUAUCCUACCUACCGUAUGACCUUGUAUUUUUCCACAAGCAUCGCUCUCCGUUAAAACCUAGCUCUAAAUUCUGCGGCUCGAGGGAGAGUGCAAGUUAACUUGAGCGAGUUGCGGCUAAAGCGUAGAAAUCGAGGUGUAAAGACUGCCUUUUUUGUGGGAGCUACAGUAGUUUUCUCCCGCUUUCUGUUUUCUCAGAGUACAUGGUGUUUCAAGAGAUGUAUUCUGGAAGAUCCUCGAGUCAUGCAGGACCAGCCAAGAGAUAAGAAUACCUUUUGUGUCAAGGGAUUUCUUCUGGAUGGAAGAGCAUCGAGUCCUUUAAGAACAGCCUCGAGAAAAGAGCCGAUGCUGAGGACUCGUGCCCUUCCCCCCCACCUUCCUGGCAGAGGACCAGCCGCGGAGGACCCAAAGGGAAGCGUCUCUAACGGACCACGAAGAGUACAUGGUGUUUCAAGAGAUGUAUUCUGGAAGAUCCUCGAGUCAUGCAGGACCAGCCAAGAGAUAAGAAUACCUUUUGUGUCAAGGGAUUUCUUCUGGAUGGAAGAGCAUCGAGUCCUUUAAGAACAGCCUCGAGAAAAGAGCCGAUGCUGAGGACUCGUGCCCUUCCCCCCCACCUUCCUGGCAGAGGACCAGCCGCGGAGGACCCAAAGGGAAGCGUCUCUAACGGACCACGAAGAGUACAUGGUGUUUCAAGAGAUGUAUUCUGGAAGAUCCUCGAGUCAUGCAGGACCAGCCAAGAGAAAAGAAUACCUUUUGUGUCAAGGGAUUUCUUCUGGAUGGAAGAGCAUCGAGUCCUUUAAGAACAGCCUCGAGAAAAGAGCCGAUGCUGAGGACUCGUGCCCUUCCCCCCCACCUUCCUGGCAGAGGACCAGCCGCGGAGGACCCAAAGGGAAGCGUCUCUAACGGACCACGAAGAGUACAUGGUGUUUCAAGAGAUGUAUUCUGGAAGAUCCUCGAGUCAUGCAGGACCAGCCAAGAGAAAAGAAUACCUCUUGUGUCAAGGGAUUUCUUCUGGAUGGAAGAGCAUCGAGUCCUUUAAGAACAGCCUCGAGAAAAGAGCCGAUGCUGAGGACUCGUGCCCUUCCCCCCCACCUUCCUGGCAGAGGACCAGCCGCGGAGGACCCAAAGGGAAGCGUCUCUAACGGACCACGAAGAGUACAUGGUGUUUCAAGAGAUGUAUUCUGGAAGAUCCUCGAGUCAUGCAGGACCAGCCAAGAGAAAAGAAUACCUUUUGUGUCAAGGGAUUUCUUCUGGAUGGAAGAGCAUCGAGUCCUUUAAGAACAGCCUCGAGAAAAGAGCCGAUGCUGAGGACUCGUGCCCUUCCCCCCCACCUUCCUGGCAGAGGACCAGCCGCGGAGGACCCAAAGGGAAGCGUCUCUAACGGACCACGAAGAGUACAUGGUGUUUCAAGAGAUGUAUUCUGGAAGAUCCUCGAGUCAUGCAGGACCAGCCAAGAGAAAAGAAUACCUUUUGUGUCAAGGGAUUUCUUCUGGAUGGAAGAGCAUCGAGUCCUUUAAGAACAGCCUCGAGAAAAGAGCCGAUGCUGAGGACUCGUGCCCUUCCCCCCCACCUUCCUGGCAGAGGACCAGCCGCGGAGGACCCAAAGGGAAGCGUCUCUAACGGACCACGAAGAGUACAUGGUGUUUCAAGAGAUGUAUUCUGGAAGAUCCUCGAGUCAUGCAGGACCAGCCAAGAGAAAAGAAUACCUUUUGUGUCAAGGGAUUUCUUCUGGAUGGAAGAGCAUCGAGUCCUUUAAGAACAGCCUCGAGAAAAGAGCCGAUGCUGAGGACUCGUGCCCUUCCCCCCCACCUUCCUGGCAGAGGACCAGCCGCGGAGGACCCAAAGGGAAGCGUCUCUAACGGACCACGAAGAGUACAUGGUGUUUCAAGAGAUGUAUUCUGGAAGAUCCUCGAGUCAUGCAGGACCAGCCAAGAGAAAAGAAUACCUUUUGUGUCAAGGGAUUUCUUCUGGAUGGAAGAGCAUCGAGUCCUUUAAGAACAGCCUCGAGAAAAGAGCCGAUGCUGAGGACUCGUGCCCUUCCCCCCCACCUUCCUGGCAGAGGACCAGCCGCGGAGGACCCAAAGGGAAGCGUCUCUAACGGACCACGAAGAGUACAUGGUGUUUCAAGAGAUGUAUUCUGGAAGAUCCUCGAGUCAUGCAGGACCAGCCAAGAGAAAAGAAUACCUUUUGUGUCAAGGGAUUUCUUCUGGAUGGAAGAGCAUCGAGUCCUUUAAGAACAGCCUCGAGAAAAGGUGAGAAACUUGCAAUAUUCUUUGCCUUCUUUUCUCUUGCAGUAUACUGAUGGUAAAUGUUAAAGGGCCAUAAUUUGGAAGACUGAAGACUGAUGAUCAGCCCCUAAGACUAUCAAGCUGCAGUCACUGAUGAAAUAGGCUAUACCACAGUUUUCAGUCGGCAGAGACAGCACCUAAAGAAAACAAGCUGCUGCCGACCAGUAGGCCCACGAAUAAUCUUUCUGACAUUGCGAUGAGUGAAACUGAUGGUAAAUAUUAAAGGGCUAUAAUUGAAGACUGAUGAUCAGCCCCUAAGACUAUCAAGCUGCAGUCACUGAUGAAAUAGGCUAUGUGUAGAGUGGGCAGAAACAGCACCUAAGAGUAGCGAGCUGCUGCCCACUAUAAAACCGCAGUAGAUGAAGAUUGGUCUGUGAUCGGAGGGGAGGGGGUGGAUGGGAACUACUGUAGCUGACACUAUGCAAGUGAAAGAUAGGCGGUUAUCUUGUCGACGUAUUGAAUAACAUAAUAUGUAUUCUGGCAAUGACUGUCGUGGUGAGUAUUUCAGACACUGUUGGUUUCAUUUCCCUUUGCGAAGUUCAACAUUUCUCCUUUUUCCUGUUUGAGCUGGCCUUGUAAGUUGGCCCAUCGUUGUUUUUGAACUUCGCUGAAAUUUGCAUGCAAAUUUUCUCCACAGCUUGUCGGGUGUUUAAAAUGUCGCAAAAGAAUAAUAGAAUUCUCUUAACUUGAGAGGUUUGAAACUAUAAAAUUUUAAAAUGAUGACUUAAUUGAUGGUAAGUGGCAGUGCCAAUAAUCUAGCCUAUGAGUAAACUUGAAGCCAAUCUUGUGUUGCUUUUGAAUUGACUGCAUAAGCCCCUAAUCUCAGCAAGCUGCAGUCAUUGAUGAAAUAGAAUUGUUGUGCAUCUACAGUACAGCAGGCAGAGACAGCACCUAAAUUUAGCAAGCUGCUGCCUGCAGAACGUGAAGAGGUGAAGAUUGUUGGCUUUGGCUCGCGACCUGCUCUGCGUAAAAUACAAAGACUUUACUACGAGGCUAAAGCAGAUGCAGUUUUCUUGUAGACAUUUCAAAGUCCACUCAUGGAAGGCUAGGCUUGAUGGUAACAGUUGCCAGAAACACCACCUUGGACUAGUAACCCCAUGCCUUUGUAUGAAUUCUUUUUCCGAGAGCCGAUGCUGAGGACUCGUGCCCUUCCCCCCCACCUUCCUGGCAGAGGACCAGCCGCGGAGGACCCAAAGGGAAGCGUCUCUAACGGACCACGAAGAGUACAUGGUGUUUCAAGAGAUGUAUUCUGGAAGAUCCUCGAGUCAUGCAGGACCAGCCAAGAGAAAAGAAUACCUUUUGUGUCAAGGGAUUUCUUCUGGAUGGAAGAGCAUCGAGUCCUUUAAGAACAGCCUCGAGAAAAGAGCCGAUGCUGAGGACUCGUGCCCUUCCCCCCCACCUUCCUGGCAGAGGACCAGCCGCGGAGGACCCAAAGGGAAGCGUCUCUAACGGACCACGAAGAGUACAUGGUGUUUCAAGAGAUGUAUUCUGGAAGAUCCUCGAGUCAUGCAGGACCAGCCAAGAGAAAAGAAUACCUUUUGUGUCAAGGGAUUUCUUCUGGAUGGAAGAGCAUCGAGUCCUUUAAGAACAGCCUCGAGAAAAGAGCCGAUGCUGAGGACUCGUGCCCUUCCCCCCCACCUUCCUGGCAGAGGACCAGCCGCGGAGGACCCAAAGGGAAGCGUCUCUAACGGACCACGAAGAGUACAUGGUGUUUCAAGAGAUGUAUUCUGGAAGAUCCUCGAGUCAUGCAGGACCAGCCAAGAGAAAAGAAUACCUUUUGUGUCAAGGGAUUUCUUCUGGAUGGAAGAGCAUCGAGUCCUUUAAGAACAGCCUCGAGAAAAGGUGAGAAACUUGCAAUAUUCUUUGCCUUCUUUUCUCUUGCAGUAUACUGAUGGUAAAUGUUAAAGGGCCAUAAUUUGGAAGACUGAAG